GAUGAACGCUGGCGGCGUGCCUAAUACAUGCAAGUCGAGCGAACAGACGAGGAGCUUGCUCCUCUGACGUUAGCGGCGGAAGGGUGAGUAACACGUGGAUAACCUACCUAUAAGACUGGGAUAACUUCGGGAAACCGGAGCUAAUACCGGAUAAUAUAUUGAACCGCAUGGUUCAAUAGUGAAAGGCGGUUUUGCUGUCACUUAUAGAUGGAUCCGCGCCGCAUUAGCUAGUUGGUAAGGUAACGGCUUACCAAGGCAACGAUGCGUAGCCGACCUGAGAGGGUGAUCGGCCACACUGGAACUGAGACACGGUCCAGACUCCUACGGGAGGCAGCAGUAGGGAAUCUUCCGCAAUGGGCGAAAGCCUGACGGAGCAACGCAGCGUGAGUGAUGAAGGUCUUCGGAUCGUAAAACUCUGUUAUUAGGGAAGAACAAAUGUGUAAGUAGCUAUGCACGUCUUGACGGUACCUAAUCAGAAAGCCACGGCUAACUACGUG
rnacentral:rRNA from 1 species